GGGUUGUGAGGUUAAGCGACUAAGCGUACACGGUGGAUGCCCUGGCAGUCAGAGGCGAUGAAGGGCGUGCUAAUCUGCGAUAAGCGCCGGUAAGGUGAUAUGAACCGUUAUAACCGGCGAUACCCGAAUGGGGAAACCCAGUGUGAUUCGUCACACUAUCAUUAACUGAAUCCAUAGGUUAAUGAGGCGAACCGGGGGAACUGAAACAUCUAAGUACCCCGAGGAAAAGAAAUCAACCGAGAUUCCCCCAGUAGCGGCGAGCGAACGGGGAGGAGCCCAGAGCCUGAAUCAGCAUGUGUGUUAGUGGAAGCGUCUGGAAAGGCGCGCGAUACAGGGUGACAGCCCCGUACACAAAAGCGCAUGUGCUGUGAGCUCGAUGAGUAGGGCGGGACACGUGGUAUCCUGUCUGAAUAUGGGGGGACCAUCCUCCAAGGCUAAAUACUCCUGACUGACCGAUAGUGAACCAGUACCGUGAGGGAAAGGCGAAAAGAACCCCGGCGAGGGGAGUGAAAAAGAACCUGAAACCGUGUACGUACAAGCAGUGGGAGCCCCACCACUAAGCCAGUGGUGAACUCCACAUACGCAUCCUUUGCUGAGGAUACGGUUAACGGAGCGAAAGCGACGUUCAACCUCAAAAGAAGCAGAGGGGGCUUAGUGGUGGGGUGACUGCGUACCUUUUGUAUAAUGGGUCAGCGACUUAUAUUCUGUAGCAAGGUUAACCGAAUAGGGGAGCCGGAGGGAAACCGAGUCUUAA
rnacentral:rRNA from 2 species